AGUUUGAUCCUGGCUCAGAACGAACGCUGGCGGCAGGCUUAACACAUGCAAGUCGAACGCCCCGCAAGGGGAGUGGCAGACGGGUGAGUAACGCGUGGGAAUCUACCCAUCUCUGCGGAAUAGCUCUGGGAAACUGGAAUUAAUACCGCAUACGCCCUACGGGGGAAAGAUUUAUCGGGGAUGGAUGAGCCCGCGUUGGAUUAGCUAGUUGGUGGGGUAAAGGCCUACCAAGGCGACGAUCCAUAGCUGGUCUGAGAGGAUGAUCAGCCACAUUGGGACUGAGACACGGCCCAAACUCCUACGGGAGGCAGCAGUGGGGAAUAUUGGACAAUGGGCGCAAGCCUGAUCCAGCCAUGCCGCGUGAGUGAUGAAGGCCUUAGGGUUGUAAAGCUCUUUCACCGAUGAAGAUAAUGACGGUAGUCGGAGAAGAAGCCCCGGCUAACUUCGUGCCAGCAGCCGCGGUAA
rnacentral:rRNA from 1 species